ACACAGUUUUUGCCUUUUUGUCUCUCUGGGGAUUCUUAACAAAGAAGGAAAACUGUGAUGUUACUGCUGGGAGGAUUUUUCCUGAUCCUGGAAGCUUGAUCCAAAUGAUAACUGCCUCCAAUUACCACUCUACACAUUGCCCACAUACAGUGGGUAUUUGGUUACAAUCAAGACUGGAGGUUUGAUGACAGCCAAAAGUACCAGCAAGGAAAUCUCAGAUGGUUCAGGCUACAGCAACACGGGUGCAGGAUAACCUGGAUUCAUGUUCAUGUUCGCGGAGAAGAUGUGCCCUGAAUGCCUUGCACCACCGCUCUUUUCAGCCACGCGAUGUGAAGCGGCCUUUUGAGCAUCAAUUCUCUACAUGAAGAAUAACCUCAAUUCUCAGCAUGAAGAAUAAUCUCAAUUUCUGCCUAAUGAGACCUUGCCAUGAAAUGCGCGUUUAGAAUUUCAUUAGCAUGCCCUGCUCUGAAAGUUUCAUUCUGGACUAGAGGAACAGGAUACUUUGGGCUAUUAGUGUCAGGCUCUGAGUAAAACAAAGCAACUUCAAAGGACAGCAAGAGAGAACAGAGUGUAAAGCCCUACCGAUGUCUGUGAUCAGUUCAUGGCAGCUAAGUUGUGUCAUUCUGGUUUGCUGCAUUGGAGCGACUGCAAGCUCUCUGGAGGCCAGAAUGUCUCCUCGUGCUCCCUCACUGAAAGUCAGAGCCUCUGUCACAGGGAGCCAUGAGCACAGAGCGUGAGCCAUGCAUACUUGCUUCGCCCACAGUAAAGCAACGUCUGCAGCAAGCCAGCAGAGAAACAACCCAAGAUACAGAUUUCAUUACACAGCGGCUGAAUUUCAGAAUCACCUGAGCACCCAGCAUCUUUCUUCUCCUCUGCACCUGCUGUCAGUAAGGCCACUCUUUAUUAAGGUUUCAAGAUAUAUGGUCUAAAUAUUCGUACAAUUGUGUCCGUUAAGAAAUGAAAAAGUGACUUAAAUGUAAAUGAAUUAUUAACAGAGAUGUCAAUAUUGCACUGUCUUGGUGUUGGGCUUUUUGGCUGUGUGAGUGCUUCUGGAGGAACAAAAAACUGUAUACGAAGAGGUAAAGACUUCAAAAGAAAAAGUUACAGGAUGUACAUCUAUCUCUAUUAGAGAAACUAAAGCCUCUCUGGGAAUGGUGGCAUCUGAGGGGGGUUGAAGGGAUGGAAGGAAGGAUGGUGAUUCCCCAUGAGGUAACUUGAUGUCUGCCGUGCCAUGAAGGGACACGGCACUUAGCUAUUCCUGAGUUGGACUACCAACUCUUUAAAGUAUGCCUGUGAUCCUCCUGCUUUCAUGCCUCUUGUGCUUGGUAAACUUAACGCACGGGAAAGGCUGAUGUGAUGAAGUAUGAGGUGAGAACCAAAUGGACAAAUUUUGUAGCUGGAGCAGGAGCCAUGCUGACUUUUUUAUAUACCAUAAUGUAAUC
rnacentral:lncRNA from 1 species